rnacentral:rRNA from 1 species
GCUAAUACCGGAUAACAACAGAUGAUGCCUAUCAACUGUUUAAAAGAUGGUUCUGCUAUCACUCUUGGAUAGACCUGCGGUGCAUUAGCUAGUUGGUAGGGUAACGGCCUACCAAGGCGAUGAUGCAUAGCCGAGUUGAGAGACUGAUCGGCCACAUUGGGACUGAGACACGGCCCCAAACUCCUACGGGAGGCAGCAGCA